rnacentral:rRNA from 1 species
UACGUAGGGUGCGAGCGUUGUCCGGAAUUAUUGGGCGUAAAGAGCUCGUAGGCGGCUUGUCGCGUCAACUGUGAAAACCCGUGGCUCAACCAUGUGGUCUGCAGUCGAUACGGGCAGACUAGAGUUCGGUAGGGGAGACUGGAAUUCCUGGUGUAGCGGUGAAAUGCGCAGAUAUCAGGAGGAGCACCGGUGGCGAAGGCGGGUCUCUGGGCCGAAACUGACGCUGAGGAGCGACAGCGUGGGGAGCAAACAGG